rnacentral:lncRNA from 1 species
UGGUAUGAAAAACACUCCCUCUAGAAGUUCCAUAGGAAAAUCUCAUGUUGGUCCUGCUAGAUCAUGGAGUAAAGUUGUUACUCCUACUAGGAAGAGGAAAAAUGUCUCUUCUAGUGAUUCCGAGUUUGAGGUCGAAAAGGAUGUCCAGGACAUCACGCCUGUGAAAAGAUCUGCUACCAAGAAGCCUCAUGUUGUUGUGGUCGAGGCUCCACUGGAUAAUGUGUCGU